GGGGAUGUGGCUCAGUGGUGGAGCACUGGCCUGGCGUGUACAAGACCUGGGCUCAAUCCCCAGCAUCACCC
rnacentral:tRNA from 1 species